UGGGGAAUUUUGGUCAAUGGGGGAAACCCUGAUCCAGCCAUCCCGCGUGCGCGAUGAAGGCCUUCGGGUUGUAAAGCACUUUUGGCAGGAAAGAAACGUCAUGGGUUAAUACCCCGUGAAACUGACGGGACCUGCAGAAUAAGCACCGGCUAACUACGUGCCAGCAGCCGCGGUAAUACGUAGGGUGCAAGCGUUAAUCGGAAUUACUGGGCGUAAAGCGUGCGCAGGCGGUUCGGAAAGAAAGAUGUGAAAUCCCAGAGCUCAACUUUGGAACUGCAUUUUUAACUACCGGGCUAGAGUGUGUCAGAGGGAGGUGGAAUUCCGCGUGUAGCAGUGAAAUGCGUAGAUAUGCGGAGGAACACCGAUGGCGAAGGCAGCCUCCUGGGAUAACACUGACGCUCAUGCACGAAAGCGUGGGGAGCAAACAGG
rnacentral:rRNA from 1 species